GGUCGGCGGUGCAAGGUCGGCGGUGAUCUACCGCCGGAGACGCUGAGGCGGGUCUGGAGAACGGCGGAUGAUCCAAGUGCGGCGGAGACGCCGAGUAAAGCGGAGCACUUGGCCAGCGAGGGUGUUCACCGGCGAAGGAGGUUGGGCGGUGGUUCCCCAGCGGAGCGGAGAGGAGAUCUCGUUCAGCGGGUAAUUUGCAGCUAUGAUGCAGUGGCGGUAAGUGACCGCUGAUUGGUGCACUGAUCACCUUCAGGAUACUCAACUAAAACCGCUGGCGGUGCUUCUUGACGUUGAUAGCCAGCGGUGGCUCUUGGUCAGCGGCGUGUGUGGUCAGCGAGUAUGCGUGCAGCGGUGACUAACUUUGCACCCAGUGGAGCAUGCUCAGCGGGUAUGGCGGAGCGGGGGAGUUCGGCGGAGUGUCAGCCGUUGAUGAUGAUUGAAGUUUGGUACUUGGGUGCCCAGAGAAGUUUUCUGGGUGUCCAGAGUAGUGAGCGGC
rnacentral:lncRNA from 1 species